GCUCCGGUGGCCUAGUGGUUAGAGCGUCCGCCUCGGAUACGGGAGGUCGCAGGUUCAAACAAUUGCCGAAUCA